GCUUACUAUUCCUUAGAGGAUGAGGUGAUACUAUGACUAGGAUGGUCUACUCUCCUCCUCCUGCUUACUAUUCCUUAGAGGAUGAGGUGAUACUAUGACUAGGAUGGUCUACUCUCCUUCUCCUCCUCCUGCUUACUAUUCCUUAGAGGAUGAGGUGAUACUAUGACUAGGAUGGUCUACUCUCCUCCUCCUGCUUACUAUUCCUUAGAGGAUGAGGUGAUACUAGGAUGGUCUACUCUCCUCCUCCUGCUUACUAUUCCUUAGAGGAUGAGGUGAUACUAGGAUGGUCUACUCUCCUCCUCCUCCUCCUGCUUACUAUUCCUUAGAGGAUGAGGUGAUACUAGGAUGGUCUACUCUCCUCCUCCUCCUCCUGCUUACUAUUCCUUAGAGGAUGAGGUGAUACUAGGAUGGUCUACUCUCCUCCUCCUGCUUACUAUUCCUUAGAGGAUGAGGUGAUACUAUGACUAGGAUGGUCUACUCUCCUCCUCCUGCUUACUAUUCCUUAGAGGAUGAGGUGAUACUAUGACUAGGAUGGUCUACUCUCCUCCUCCUGCUUACUAUUCCUUAGAGGAUGAGGUGAUACUAGGAUGGUCUACUCUCCUCCUCCUCCUGCUUACUAUUCCUUAGAGGAUGAGGUGAUACUAUGACUAGGAUGGUCUACUCUCCUCCUCCUCCUUACUAUUCCUUAGAGGAUGAGGUGAUA